AGUCCUGUAGCGUAGUGGUUAGCGUGUUCGCCUUUCAAGCGAGAGGAUCUGGGUUUGAUUCCCGGGCAGGGCAA